AUCCAGAUGAAGAGCCCCGAAUAGGACGAAACACGCGUCUUGAAU
rnacentral:hammerhead_ribozyme from 1 species